CGUGUAGGCUGAUAUCUUAGUCGGUUGUGAAAUCCCCGGGCUCAACCUGGGAAUUGCAGUCGAUACUGGAUAUCUUGAGUAUGGUAGAGGAAAGUGGAAUUCUCGGUGUAGUGGUUAAAUACGUAGAUAUCGAGAAGAACACCGGUGGCGAAGGCGACUUUCUGGACCAAUACUGACGCUGAGGCGCGAAAGCAUGGGGAGCAAAACA
rnacentral:rRNA from 1 species